UGGGGAAUAUUGCACAAUGGGGGAAACCCUGAUGCAGCGACGCCGCGUGAGCGAUGAAGGCUUUCGAGUCGUAAAGCUCUGUCCUAUGGGAAGAUAAUGACGGUACCAUAGAAGAAAGCCCCGGCUAAUUACGUGCCAGCAGCCGCGGUAAUACGUAAGGGGCGAGCGUUGUCCGGAAUCAUUGGGCGUAAAGGGUACGUAGGCGGGUAAGCAAGUUAGAAGUGAAAUCCUGUAGCUCAACUACAGUAAGCUUUUAAAACUGCUCAUCUUGAGAUAUGGAAGGGAAAGUGGAAUUCCUAGUGUAGCGGUGAAAUGCGCAGAUAUUAGGAGGAAUACCGGUGGCGAAGGCGACUUUCUGGCCAUAAUCUGACGCUGAGGUACGAAAGCGUGGGUAGCAAACAGG
rnacentral:rRNA from 1 species